rnacentral:SRP_RNA from 1 species
GCCGGGUGUGGUGGCACAUGCCUGUAGUCCCAGCUACUCGGGAGGCUGAGGCAGGAGAAUCGCUUGAACCCAGGAGACGGAGGUUGCAGUGAGCUGAGAUGGUGCCACUGCAUUCCAGCCUGGGUGACAGAGCGAGACUCUGUCUCAA